AGCGGGGUGGAGCAGUCUGGAGUGCUCACCGGGCCCAUAACCCGGAGGUCGCGUGGUUCAAAUCCCGCCCCCGCUA
rfam:Candidatus Pacearchaeota archaeon CG1_02_35_32 cg1_0.2_scaffold_41_c, whole genome shotgun sequence.